GCCUAUGGCCAUACUACCCUGAAUGUGCCUGAUCUCAGAAGCUAAGCAGGGUAGGGCCUGGUUUGUAUUUGGAUGGGAGAAAAUGGGCAAAAAGGGUA
ensembl:rRNA 5S_rRNA 5S ribosomal RNA